rnacentral:rRNA from 1 species
CCUACGGGAGGCUGCAGUGAGGAAUAUUGGUCAAUGGACGAGAGUCUGAACCAGCCAAGUAGCGUGAAGGAUGACUGCCCUAUGGGUUGUAAACUGCUUUUAUACGGGAAUAACGCGCCUUACGUGUAGGGCUUUGCAUGUACCGUAUGAAUAAGGACCGGCUAAUUCCGUGCCAGCAGCCGCGGUAAUACGGAAGGUCCGGGCGUUAUCCGGAUUUAUUGGGUUUAAAGGGAGCGUAGGCCGCAUGUCAAGCGUGCUGUGAAAUGUCCGGGCUCAACCCGGGCCUUGCAGCGCGAACUGGCGGGCUUGAGUCCGCGGAAGGCAGGCGGAAUUCGUCGUGUAGCGGUGAAAUGCUUAGAUAUGACGAAGAACCCCGAUUGCGAAGGCAGCUUGCUGCAGCGGAACUGACGCUGAUGCUCGAAAGCGCGGGUAUCGAACAGGAUUAGAUACCCCAGUAGUC